rnacentral:rRNA from 1 species
CUACGGGGCGCUCCAGUGAGGAAUAUUGCCCAAUGGACGAAAGUCUGAGGCAGCAACGCCGCGUGGGCGAUGAAGGCCUUCGGGUCGUAAAGCCCUUUUCUGGGGGAAGAGGAAGGACGGUACCUCAGGAAUAAGUCACGGCUAACUACGUGCCAGCAGCCGCGGUAAUACGUAGGUGGCGAGCGUUAUCCGGAUUUACUGGGCGUAAAGCGCGUGCAGGUGGUUUCGUAAGUCGGACGUGAAAGCUCCUGGCUUAACUGGGAGAGGUCGUUCGAUACUGCGGGACUUGAGGUCGGGAGAGGGACGUGGAAUUCCCGGUGUAGUGGUGGAAUGCGUAGAUAUCGGGAGGAACACCAGUGGCGAAGGCGGCGUCCUGGCCCGUACCUGACACUAAGACGCGAAAGCGUGGGGAGCGAACGGGAUUAGAUACCCUAGUAGUC